rnacentral:rRNA from 1 species
UAAUACAGAGGGGGCAAGCGUUGUCCGGACUGACUGGGCGUAAAGCGUACGCAGGCGGUCGCGGGCGUCGGUACUGAAAGUCCACCGCUUAACGGUGGAUCGCGUGUCGAUACGCCGCAACUGGAGCCAUGUAGAGGUCCGUGGAAUUGCCGGUGUAGUGGUGAUAUGCGUAGAUAUCGGCAGGAACACCCAAGGGGAAGCCAACGGACUGGGCAUGUGCUGACGCUCAGGUACGACAGCGUGGGGAGCAAACUGGAUUAGAUACCCAGGUAGUCCACGCCGUAAACGAUGGAUGCUCGGUGUCUGGGGGCUAUCAACGUCCCGGGGCGCCUCAGCUAACGCGGAAGCAUCCCGCCUGGGAACUACGAGCGCAAGCUUA